rnacentral:rRNA from 1 species
UACGUAGGGUGCGAGCGUUAAUCGGAAUUACUGGGCGUAAAGCGUGCGCAGGCGGUUCGUUGUGUCGGCGGUGAAAGCCCCGGGCUUAACCUGGGAAUGGCCGUUGAAACUGGCGAACUGGAGUGUGGCAGAGGGGGGUGGAAUUUCCGGUGUAGCGGUGAAAUGCGUAGAUAUCGGAAGGAACACCUGUGGCGAAAGCGGCUCACUGGACCAUUACUGACGCUGAUGCACGAAAGCUAGGGGAGCAAACAGG